UGAAGUGGGUGGUGAAAAGCAAGGCGGAGAAGGAGGUUGAAGAAGUCUACGAUGCAGUGGUUGUCGCCACCGGCCAUUACUCUCAGCCAAGGUUGCCUGCAAUAAAAGGUAUACAAUAUGUUUCAUUCAAGCUAUCUUAUUAUAUUCAUCAAGCUAAAUGAACAUUUGAUCUUGAAAAAUGUCCAGGAAUGGAUGCAUGGAGGAGAAAACAGAUGCACAGUCACAUUUACAGGGUUCCAGAUCCAUUCAAGAAUGAGGUAACAUUCAAGAAACUUGUCAUCAUUCUUCAUGAUCAGUCGCAUUUGAGAAUCAAGUCAGUGUCACAUGCAUCACACGUGAUGAUCGAUAUAAUAUUAUCUUAGACAUUUCAUGUUUUCAGUAAAGUUAAGGCAUACCUAGAUGGCGCUUCCUGUUAAGGAAAGCUUUAACUGCCACAUGCAUACCUAACUAAUAUCUCAUCAGUUUUAUUGAUGAAGGGUUGAUUACUGAUUACUUUCUUCUCAAACAUACUACGAAUCUCUGUAACUUUACAGGUAGUUGUGGUUGUUGGGAGUUCUUUGAGUGGACAGGACAUCUCAAUGGAGCUUGUGAAUGUGGCAAAUGAGAUCUACCUAAGUUCCAAAUCUCUCGAUGUUUCUCAAGGCUUAUCAAAAGUCAUUGCUAAAUAUGAUAAUCUACACCUCCGUCCACAGGUUCAUUAUAUCAAUGUUUUGAGCAAAAACUUAGAGAAGAAAAAAGAAGUAAAGUAAUGAAUCAUACUAUCAUAGUUGAUUUCCUAUUAAUAGUCUCUAAAUCUUGCAGAUCGAGUCCCUACAUGAGGACGGAAAGGUUAUAUUCAAUGAUGGCUCGUGGAUCAUUGCCGACACUAUCAUAUACUGUACAGGGUAAACUGUUGUUUUAUUACGAGCAUCUGAAAAAUCAUAUACACUUCCAAGAAAAUAGAAUGAAAAUUCAAAAACACCUCAACCACCCAGAAAUAUAAAAUAAUCAUUCUGACUAAAAAGCUAAGAAAUUGAAUAAUUUAUUGCUUCUGAAGUUGCUUAGUUCAAACUAUACUUUAUUCAGAUUGAUGUGGCCAUAUCUUGAAGCAUACACUUCAUGGAUGACAAAAACUAAUGAGUACAAGUGGGGAUUGUGCAGGUACUCUUAUUCAUUUCCAUUUCUUGAUACUAAAGGAAUAGUAAGAAUAGAUGAUGACCGGGUGGGACCCCUCUAUGAGCAUACCUUUCCUCCUUCACUAGCUCCUUCUCUAUCUUUUAUUGGCAUCCCAAGAAAGGUAAAUCUUCUACUUUAUUAUUUUUAUUUUUAUUUCUUUAAUACAAGAGUAGGUCAAAGGACAUGAGUGCAGUAGCAGAGACUAGAGUCAUACAGAAUGUAUUGCAAUACGACCACACUAGCUAGGAAUUCUAACUCAAGUUUUGCUAAUUUUGGCUUUUAUGGUUUAUGUAGCUUAUAGGUUUUCCUUUCUUUGAAUCCCAAGCAAUAUGGAUUGCUCAACUCUUGUCUGGAAAAAGGAGUUUGCCAUCAUGGGAUGAUAUGAUGCAAUCAAUUAAGGAGUUUUAUGACUCAAGGGAUGCUGCUGGCAUCCCAAAGCACUAUACACAUGAUAUUUGCGAGUUUGAGGUAAAAAAAGAAACUAAGCUAAGCUAUGUUUACUUCUCUAAUAUAGUUUUUCCCCUGUGUCAUUUUCAUGAAUGGAAUUCACCUACAUCUGAUCAGAACUGUACACAAUUUGAUCAAACACGAGACUGUGAGUAUAGGCAAUCUUCAAGAUUAAUGUGUGUGCUACUUUCCAUGUGUUUUCAGUAUUGUGACAAAUACGCAGACUACAUUGGUUUUCCACAUUUAGAGGAGUGGAGGAAGGUGCUUUGCAUCUCAGCCUUAGUGAAUGCUGAAUCAAACUUGGAGACGUAUCGUGAAUCAUAUGAACAAGAUGAGGAGAUGCUUCAAGUUGCAUAUAGCAGCACACACUUCACUCAACAGGGACCUCAAGAUUCUACCUUAUGAACUACAUGGAUCUAUUAUUGAAUAUUCCACAUAAUUAUGUGCAAUUCUUGUGUUACUAGUACUAAACGAAUUCACAAUCAUAGAUUGUCAAAAUAAAAGAUAUUUUUUCAUAUUGAGAAAACCAAGCAAUUUUGUUUUGCCUUUGGCUGCUGUAAGUCAAAAUAUGUUGCAUUGUGGGCCGGGGAAGGAAAUAUUGUAUUUUGUGAUAGAUGUUUAUUUGUCAAAUCUAUGUACUUAGCCUUUGUAAUAACAACAUGAUGAUGCCAUGAAAACCAAAUAGAAUGAUCACAUUUCAUGAUCAAUAUUAAUUAAUGAUGCUCUAGAAGGAACAUUCUUUCAUUCAUUUACCUGUUGUUGAAAUUUCGGUUAAAUGAUUCUCGCUCUGCCUUUUUCAUGUCCACAGCUUCAGCUUACAGCUACCCUUCUCCACGAACAGCAAAUUCCUGAUUCAACAGGAAAAAAUUAAUGUUCAUUGCAACUUGAUGAAAAAUAAACAUAAACCACCUUCAUCAUCUUCUUCUUAGUAUCAUUUUGGUAAUAGGAAAAAAAAAACAGAAUUGAAUAGCAUAACCUAAGUUUCGUUAAUCAGCAUAACCCUUGAGAGGAAAGGUCUUCGGUAUCAUUAGAGAUUAACAAAAUGACCCAAAAACACAACUCGGUUGAGUUCAUGCCUAACGAAGCGACAAUCAAAAUGCUGCAACACAUUUAGAGCAAAUCCUGGGAUCAUGCAUUCUUUGCUUCAACAAGGAAACUCAUUCUUUGCAAACAAGAGUAGUGCUCCAUCCCAUUCGGCACCUCAUUUGCCUACUCUGCAUUCUGACGCAUCUACAUCGCUACUAUGGAUUUCCAAUCAUUGUUACAUUUCACUUGUUUCACCACUUUAAGACAUUUCUUCGAACAGAUGAUAGGCAUGAUCACAUCGUGCGCUAACAUUUACAUAUUUUCCAGUUUUAUUUGUCGGAUUUCAGGCGUAGCUGCAGAAGCCUUCUCCAUUGUACAAUACUUUAAUUUUUUUUUAUCAACGAGCCUUAGAUAUAUCCGAAAUAACCUACGCCAAAUAGUCCGGAAAUAGUCUCACCGAAGAAAUCUCAUAUUCUUUGUCCAAUCUUUCAAACCUCACUUCAUGCGAUGUCUCCUACAACAAUCUGUCCGGCGUUGUUCCAUCUCUUAUAUCAAAGAAAUUCAACUCCACCUCAUUCGCCGGUAACAUCCAGCUCUGCGGCUACACCACCUCGACACUGUACUGUAUCCGUCGCGGCGUCGCCUAACCCUUCAUUGCUGCCGCAACCACAGAGAACUUAACACCAUUGCAGCUAAAGCCCUCCUGUUCGUUUUAGUGUUGCUCUGGUGCUUCAUCGGAAAGAAGGCAUCUUCAAAAUCCAGCAAACCGGUGGACCUGGUUGAGGAAUUUGCGUAAUUUUUAUUUUAUUUUUUUAAAAUAAUAUGGC
rnacentral:lncRNA from 1 species